GACUACGACCCCGACAGUGAACUGUUCCUUAACUUGCGCUACCUAGGCACUUCCCACCCCUCAGCCGGGCCCAGCCUUGGUUCAAUCAAGAUAAACAAGAGGACGGAGACCUCGUGCCGUCGCGACGGUCUUUCCACGCCUCAGGUGCACUUAAUUCAGUCAGUCCAUCCACCCUAUCCGCCAUGAAAAAUUAUUUGGUUAGCAGGAAUUGUCAAGUCAAAUACAGCCAUAUAAAGCCCCCCUCCGACGUGCCAUGUGUGCCUCGGGAGAGCAGCCACCCAAACCACCAGCAACCCGUCCGCGCCGAAAAAUGCGCCCUCACUGGUUUCUGGGACCACUCAGAAAGUUCUAAGCGCCUUUCCCUGUAACGCAGAGGCACACCGGCCUUCCCUUGGGAAACUCAGCAGCCCGACGUGCGCCGGUAACCCGUAAAGUGUCAACGGCUGAAACCCUCAGAACCGCCCAAACAAUAACAACCACCGCCGCCAGCGGCGCGAACUGGGGAAAAGACGUUGCGUCCUCGCCGAUUGCCGGUUUCCGGAGGCGCGAGCCCAGAUCUCACAUGGUCGGUUCGGUUACGCAGUGACGGCGAGAACCCCGCCCUGUUAAGGAAAAAGGGAUGCAGUCUUAGCACUGGGCUCGUAGAGCCAUAGUACUAAGACUGCCCGAGUCGCGGACAAGUCCCGCAGACAGGCGGACCCGCGGGCAGCCCGCGUGAUCGAGGACCCCGGCGGCGGCUCCGGGUGGCGGGAAGGAGGAAGUUUCAAAGCCAGGUGGCCUGGUUGCGGUCGCUGGGCGAGAUGAAGCUACACUGCGAGGUGGAGGUGAUCAGCCGGCACUUGCCGGCCUUGGGGCUGAGGAACCGGGGGAAGGGCGUCCGAGCAGUGUUGAGCCUCUGUCAGCAGACUUCCAGGAGUCAGCCGCGGGCCCGAGCCUUCCUGCUCAUCUCUACCCUUAAGGACAAGCGGGGGACCCGCUAUGAGCUAAGGGAGAACAUUGAGCAAUUCUUCACCAAAUUUGUAGAUGAGGGGAAAGCCACUGUUCGGUUAAAGGAGCCUCCUGUGGAUAUCUGUCUAAGUAAGGCCAAUUCCAGCAGUUUAAAAGGUUUCCUUUCAGCUGUGAGAUUGGCUCAUAGAGGCUGCAAUGUUGAUACAUCAGUUUCAACGCUCACAGCAGUGAAGACUUCAGAAUUCGAAAACUUUAAAACUAAAAUGGUUAUCACAUCCAAAAAAGACUAUCCUCUAAGCAAGAACUUUCCAUAUUCCCUGGAACAUCUUCAGACUUCUUACUGUGGGCUUGUCCGAGUUGAUAUGCGCAUGCUUUGCUUAAAAAACCUUAGGAAAUUAGACUUGAGUCACAACCAUAUCAAAAAGCUUCCGGCUACAAUUGGAGACCUCAUACACCUUCAAGAACUUAACCUGAAUGACAAUCACUUGGAGUCAUUUAGUGUAGCCUUGUGUCAGUCUACACUCCAGAAGUCACUUCGGAGUUUGGACCUCAGCAAGAACAAAAUCAAGGCACUCCCUGUGCAGUUCUGCCAACUCCAGAAACUUAUGAAUUUAAAACUUGACGAUAAUGAAUUGAUUCGAUUUCCUUGCAAGAUAGGACAACUGAUAAACCUUCGCUUUUUGUCAGCAGCUCGAAAUAAGCUUCCAUUUUUGCCUAGUGAAUUUAGAAAUUUAUCCCUUGAAUACUUGGAUCUUUUUGGAAAUACUUUUGAACAACUUGAAGUCCUUCCAGUAAUAAAGCUGCAAGUCCCGUUAACUUUAUUGGAAUCUUCUGCACGAAACAUUUUAUAUAAUAGACUACAACCAUCUAUCCUGAAAGAGAUAAAUGUAAACAUGUAGAAGACACUUCCUGGCAGAGUGUUUUAAAAUGGUUACUUACGCAAGCAACAGAUUAAUAAAGUCUUUUUAUGAAAAUUUUUAAAAUUGCAAAUAGGGCCAUCCUAGAUCCCCUUCCAAAGGAUUCCCUAUGGCUCUCAUAUCAUUCCAUUCCAUCUCUGCCAAGAUUUGGACAUCGCAAAAACCUGUGUUUGUGGAAGAUUCUGUCUGAACUCUUUUAUUCAAGGAACUACUACCAUGAAUCUGCACUCUGUUGCCCACACUGUGGUCUUAGUAGAUAAUAUGGGUGGUACUGAAGCACCUAUUAUGUCUUAUUUCUGUUCUCUAGGCUGUUACGUAAAUUCCUCUGAUAUGUUAAAGUAAUGAAUGAUACUACAAAAAGAAAUUUCAAUUACAGGUGAGUUUGGGAUGCAUGUAUGAUUUUACAGCAUCAAAUUGGAGUAAGGGAAGCUUUCUAUAUACAUGCUGGAGAGGAGGAAUGUAUAUAGUUUAUAAUCAUUUGACUCCAAAACUUUUAUUAAAACCAAUUUUAAUUUUAU